rnacentral:rRNA from 1 species
AUGAAAACGAGUGCCCCCAUGGUUUGUGGGCAGGGACCUAGGAUUAAUUGGCGUUCCGUAAAACCUUUUAAGACGACAAGAUCCAAGGAUCUUCAGCUUCAUCAUCUACCCACAGAUGUACUGCGUGGUAUACUAUCGCGAUUGACAAUGAAAGAAGCCGUGCGAAUGAGCAUACUAUCUAGGAGGUGGAGCAGGCUUUGGAAAUGCUACCCAAAGUUAGUGUUCACCAGAGCCACGAUGCGUCGCAGUAACGCCACGACAGGCCCUGCAAAACCCUUGCGGACAAGGUUUAUCAGGGGGAUCAACAGCAUCCAGCGACAACUCAAGUCAUCUAACCUGAAUAAGUUUGUGGUCAAGUUUGCGCUUCGCAAAAGGCACACACCUCACAUUGAUAGAUGGAUCAAUUUCUGUGCCUCGUCGAUGGCGAAGCAUGUUGUUCUUGAUUUAUGUCCAGGGCCGAAGGGCAGUACCGACACAGAUGACAAGUACAGUUUCCCGCUGCAUCUUCUCGACACCUCGGGUGGUUCUUGCGUGAAGUCUCUUAGUCUGGGGUUCGUCUAUUUACCACUGCCUCCUGAUCACCGUGGAUUUGCCAACCUUAAGAAGCUCUCCCUAGAAAUAGUUCAUGUCACAGGGGAUCUCGGGUGCCUGCUCCCAAAAUGCGCUGUUCUUGAGUGGCUAAGCCUCACCAGGUGUAGACUGGACGAGCUAAGCAUAGGCAAGGAACUGAGCAGGCUCCAUUGUUUGCAGGUCAAGUACUGUAUGCUGCAGAAGCUGCAUGUCCGAGCUCCAAACCUCACCAUGUUUGCGAUCGCUGGUCGUGUGAUACCUAUAUUGCUUGGUGAAUCUGUGAAGAUUUCGGAGGCGACGGUCGACUUGGUCACAUCCUCGGACUGCUUCAAUUACGUCUUCACUGAUCUUGUCGAUGCUCUUUCGCAUGUUCCGUCCCUCUCCAUAGGCUUCCGAAUUGAAACCAAGGUGAUAAAUUUUGUGAAAAGUCGGACCAUGCUCACAAAUCUGAGACAUCUGGUCCUGAAAAUCGAUAUUGUUGGGCCGCCAGAAGUCACUGGUGGGAUUCUUCGUUUGGCCUAUCUGUUGGAGUUAGCCCCUGCUUUGGAAGAAUAA